AUUGAACGCUGGCGGCAGGCCUAACACAUGCAAGUCGAAUGGUAACAGGAAACAGCUUGCUGUUUCGCUGACGAGUGGCGGACGGGUGAGUAAUGUCUGGGAAACUGCCUGAUGGAGGGGGAUAACUACUGGAAACGGUAGCUAAUACCGCAUAACGUCGCAAGACCAAAGAGGGGGACCUUCGGGCCUCUUGCCAUCAGAUGUGCCCAGAUGGGAUUAGCUAGUAGGUGGGGUAACGGCUCACCUAGGCGACGAUCCCUAGCUGGUCUGAGAGGAUGACCAGCCACACUGGAACUGAGACACGGUCCAGACUCCUACGGGAGGCAGCAGUGGGGAAUAUUGCACAAUGGGCGCAGGCCUGAUGCAGCCAUGCCGCGUGUAUGAAGAAGGCCUUCGGGUUGUAAAGUACUUUCAGCGGGGAGGAAGGGAGUAAAGUUAAUACCUUGGCUCAUUGACGUUACCCGCAGAAGAAGCACCGGCUAACUCCGUG
rnacentral:rRNA from 1 species